rnacentral:rRNA from 1 species
GACGAACCGUGCGAACGUUAUUCGGAAUCACUGGGCUUAAAGCGCGUGUAGGCGGGACGGCACGUCGGUCGCUGAAAUCCCCCGGCUCAACCGAGGAACGGGCGCCGAUACGACCGCCCUGGAGGGGCGUAGGGGGACCUGGAACUUCCGGUGGAGCGGUGAAAUGCGUUGAGAUCGGAAGGAACGCCCGUGGCGAAAGCGAGGUCCUGGACGCCUACUGACGCUGAGGUG